UAUUUUAAGGUCCCACAUGAUAGGUU
rnacentral:piRNA from 1 species